rnacentral:rRNA from 1 species
CCCUUAGAUGUUCUGGGCCGCACGCGCGCUACACUGAAGCUAUCAACACGUUUUCCCUCCCUGAGAAGGGCGGGUAACCUUUUGAAUCAGCUUCGUGGUAGGGAUCGGGGCUUGCAAUUGUUCCCCGUGAACUAGGAAUUCCUAGUAGACGCGAGUCAUAAGCUCGCAUCGAUUAAGUCCCUGCCCUUUGUACACACCGCCCGUCGCUACUACCGAUUGAACGUUUUAGUGAGGCAUUUGGACCGACGCAUCUCAGUUUAACCGCUGGUUUGUGUUGGAAAGACUUCCAAACUUGAGCGUUUAGAGGAAGUAAAAGUCGUAACA